rnacentral:rRNA from 1 species
GGCGCAGCCUGAUGCAGCACGCCGCGUGAGGGACGAAGGCCUUCGGGUUGUAAACCUCUUUUAGCAGGGAAGAAGCGAAAGUGACGGUACCUGCAGAAAAAGCACCGGCUAACUACGAUGCCAGCAGCCGCGGUAAUACGACCACAGCCGCGGUAAUACGA